AGUGAACGCUGGCGGUAGGCCUAACACAUGCAAGUCGAACGGCAGCACAGUAAGAGCUUGCUCUUACGGGUGGCGAGUGGCGGACGGGUGAGGAAUACAUCGGAAUCUACUUUUUCGUGGGGGAUAACGUAGGGAAACUUACGCUAAUACCGCAUACGACCUACGGGUGAAAGCAGGGGAUCUUCGGACCUUGCGCGAUUGAAUGAGCCGAUGUCGGAUUAGCUAGUUGGCGGGGUAAAGGCCCACCAAGGCGACGAUCCGUAGCUGGUCUGAGAGGAUGAUCAGCCACACUGGAACUGAGAAACGGUCCAGACUCCUAAGGGAGGCAGCAGUGGGGAAUAUUGGACAAUGGGCGGAAGCCUGAUCCAGCCAUACCGCGUGGGUGAAGAAGGCCUUCGGGUUGUAAAGCCCUUUUGUUGGGAAAGAAAAGCAGCAGGUUAAUACCCCGCUGUUCUGACGGUACCCAAAGAAUAAGCACCGGCUAACUUCGUG
rnacentral:rRNA from 1 species